rnacentral:rRNA from 1 species
UACGUAGGCAGCAAGCGUUGUUCGGAGUUACUGGGCGUAAAGAGUGCGUAGGCGGUGCUCUAAGUUUGGUGUGAAAUCUCCCGGCUCAACUGGGAGGGUGCGCCGAAUACUGAGCGACUAGAGUGCGGGGAGAGGAAAGUGGAAUUCCUGGUGUAGCGGUGAAAUGCGUAGAUAUCAGGAGGAACACCGGUGGUGUAGACGGCUUUUCUGGACCGUAACUGACGCUUGAGACACGAAAAGCGUGGGGUAGCAAAACAGGG